AUCACAAAAAAUUAAAUUCAUUACAUAGAGCAUUUACCAAAAAAUUCAAUAUUUUCGUAGGGGUUAACACAUAUUUCGAGAAAAAUUCAAAAAUAUGAAAAAUAUUGUUUUAAUGCAUAGUUGCAUCAUUUACUAACAUUUGAUUAAGUAAGUUCAAAGAGGUUUGGAACAUUUGUUGUCUCCGUUUCUCUAGAAAAUAACGAUUUUAUAGUGGUUAAUCCACCAAUUUAGAGAGUAUUAUGAAAUUUUACUAAAUUAAUUGAGAAAAAAUUAAAAAGAUGCUCAUGUACCAUGAAAGAGAGUUUAAUAUACAUUAAUACAAAUGUAGAAUGUGUUUAUAAAUUUUAAAACAACACUAAAGAUCAUAGGGUUCACUAUAUAGAGCAUUUUACCGAAAUAUUCAAUAUUUUCGUAGGGGGUAAUACAUAGAUUUUGAGAAAAAUUCAAAAAUAUGAAAAAAAUGUUUUAUUGCAUAUUUGGAUCCUUCACUAAUAUAUAACAUAUGAUGAUGGCCAAAGAGGUUUGAAACAUUUGGUGUAUCCGUUUCUCUAGAAAAUAGCAAUUUUAUAGUGAUUAGUCCACCAAUUUAGAAAGUAUUAUGAAGUUUUACUAAAUUAAUUGAGAAAAAAUUAAAACGAUGCUCAUGUACCAUGAAAAAGUUUAAUAUACAUUAAUACAAAUGUAAAAUGUGUUUAUAAAUUUUAAAAACAACAAUAAAGAUCAUAUGGUUCACUAUAUA